CAGCCCCGACCAGACACAAUCAAUGCAAAUAACAAAACAAACUCUGAACCAAUCGUUGAAACCAUAGACUGUAAAAAAAAAAUAUGGACAUCGUUACCGUGAAGUCACCCAUAAGUGUCUGAAGACCCGUUUUGAAGCUAAUACUCGUUGCCAUCUUGGUAGUGCGUCACUCGGCCAAACUCCCAGAUAACCAUAAAUGGGCGAAGAGGUGAGCUGUCUGGUUGCUAAAACAAUACCCACACAGCGUGAUAUUACUAAGUUAGCAAAAGCUAAGAAGCUAGGAUAAAUGCAACCAGUAUGUUAUUCUGCGUUGCUAGCAUGUUGCUAGCCGGCAGUUAACAGCCAGUCACUGUAACGUUACCAGCUUGAAAUUGAGCCAGCUUCAAGUGGCCAUUCAAUGAAUUGCAGUUUUUGGUACUUCGACGGCAGGCCUCAUUUAUCAGCCUCGGAGUUUGCCCCUUGGUUGAAACUGAUUCUGAUUUCAACUUAAUUCGGGAUUAUUAACAUGGGACGGCCACGGGAGCGGCGGAUGGCCGUGGAGCAGGGAGGCGUUGUGGCAGGUGGAGAAGCGGGGGGCGAUGACUGGAGCUGAGCCCUGCAGGAGUCCCCACGUUGCUCUGAAGACCUCCAGAAAGUCUGCAUAAGACCUUCGCUCCUCUGUCCUGGUGUACUGGAGGGCCCAAAUCCAGGCCCUCCAAUCCAGCCAUAACAGGGCCUGUGCCACUCUGCCCCGGUCUGUCAGGGCCUGUGCCACUCUGCCCCGGUCUGUCAGGGCCUGUGACUCAGAGUGGCUGACAAACUGGUUGACCUGCCCUUUGAAGUGAGCCCACCUUCUUAGGUCAACCUCAAACCUCGCUGGGUCUGGCGGUCCGGCAGAUGCCCAUUCCUCCAAUGUAUACCUCCGCUGUGACCUACACUAACGAGAAUGAACAUAGAAACAGGUAAACUAGAACCAAAACACACAGAACAUAGAACUGCAGUGGGCUAUUACAAAAUAUAUCAUACUAACAUAGGAAAAAUGAAAUUAAGUUAGCAGAACAUACUGUUGCAUGUCUAAGAUUGCUUGCUAGUUACAUUUUAAUGUUAGCACAAUUUGUCUAGCUUUAGACAUUUUGUCUCCCUUCUUCCUUGAACACACGUGUACCUGUCUGCUAGAUAUAGCAACUGUGGGGCGGAGUUGUGUGGAGACAUUCAGAAUCUCUGGAAGCAUCAAAUCAAAAUUCAGAAUGUAUGUGUAUGACACAAAUUGUGAGGACGUAACUAUGUAGGUCUGUCAGAUAGGGUGAACAGUCAAAUUAAGCAGUAACAACAUAGUGCCUGGGCAUCCAGACAAACAAAUAAAUACUUUGCAUUCAACACAAACAAAUAACCCAGACUGGUUUUGUGGUGAAUGCGGUCACUUUAAGAAAGGUUUUAAACAAAGUGACUGACUAUGAGUAGCUACACUGAUAUAACAUGACACUUUCUUUCUAAUCAUUGACGUUAUGGUCUGGUUACAGAAAUCACCUGUCCUAGUGUCGGGCUGGCUGCUAGCAAAACUGUUAAAUUGAUAAAGUAAAGGUACUUGGGUGUGUACACCAGUUAUGGGAAGUGGAGGACAUGUAGCCAUCUCAGGCUCACACGCCAGGCAACCAGAGUGGCCCUGACACUGGAGAUUAGAAUACUUUGCAUGAAACAUGAUGAAUACCCAAAUCAAACCUUAAUUCAUACAGCAAUUGAAGCAAACAGUGGUUAGGCUCAGAUCCAACACACAGGUUGUUGAAUGAUGUCUGGACCCUGGCUGAAUAGCAGUUACCCCAGGGGGUCCUAGGGGUCACCUCACUUCCCAGAGUCCUUGGGGUUUAUCUUUGCCAAACAAAGAAUAAAAUAAAAAAAGAGAUGAACAGAUCCCUCUAGUCCUCUGACCUUCCCCUCUGACCUUCCCCUCUGACCUUCCCCUCUGACCUUCCCCUCUGACCUGGUCCUCUGACCUGGUCCUCUGACCUGGUCCUCUGACCUUCCCCUCUGACCUAGUCCUCUGACCUUCCUGUCAGACCUAGUCCUCUGACAUUACUGUCGGACCUGUUAAUUACUUAGUUGCCCCAAGACACAGCAAUUGUCUCUCAUAGUGUGUGAUCCAUAAAUGAGGGCCUGUUCAUUGUUAUUUUGUCAUAUACCAAACAUAGGUUUCCAUGUUUCCGGAUGCCUCCGGAACGCCUUCCUGGGAAGGUGUUCCGGUCCCGUCCCACCGGGAGGAGAC